AUAUAAGAAGUAAUUAUUUACAUUUAAUUUCGGCUUAAAAAUUGAUUUAAUUUAUAAAUCCUUAUAUU
rnacentral:tRNA from 1 species